rnacentral:rRNA from 1 species
UCGGUUGAUCCUGCCGGAGGCUACUGCUAUCGGGGUUCGAUUAAGCCAUGCGAGUUAAAUGUUCUUCGUGAACAUAGCGAACUGCUCAGUAACACGUGGAUAACCUACCCUUAGGACCGGAAUAACCCCGGGAAACUGGGGAUAAUACCGGAUAAGCCAUAGACGCUGGAUGCCCUAUGGUUCAAAGCUCCGGCGCCUAAGGAUGGAUCUGCGGUCUAUCAGGUUGUAGUGGGUGUAACGUACCUACUAGCCGACGACGGAUACGGGUUGUGAGAGCAAGAGCCCGGAGAUGGAUUCUGAGACACGAAUCCAGGCCCUACGGGGUGCAGCAGGCGCGAACACUUUACAAUGCGGGAAACCGCGAUAAGGGAACCCCGAGUGCCAGCAUCAAAUGUUGGCUGUCCAGAUGGUUAAAAAUCAUUUGUUAGCAAGGGCCGGGCAAGACCGGUGCCAGCCGCCGCGGUAACACCGGCGGCCCGAGUGGUAGCCGUUUUUAUUGGGUCUAAAGGGUCCGUAGCCGGCCUGAUAAGUCCUUUGGGAAAUCUGACAGCUUAACUGUCGGGCUUCUAAGGGAUACUGUCAGGCUUGGGACCGGGAGAGGUAAGGGGUACUCCAGGGGUAGGAGUGAAAUCUUGUAAUCCCUGGGGGACCAUCUGUGGCGAAGGCGCCUUACCAGAACGGGUCCGACGGUGAGGGACGAAAGCUAGGGGAGCAAACCGGAUUAGAUACCCGGGUAGUCCUAGCUGUAAACGAUGCUCGCUAGGUGUCAGANACGGUGCGACCGUGUUUGG